UCAAGUGAAUAAGAGCAUGUGGUGGAUGCCUUGGCGAUGAUAGGCGAAGAAGGACGUGAUAGCCUGCGAUAAGCUCCGGUGAGUUGGCAAAUGAACUUUGACCCGGAGAUUUCCGAAUGGGGAAACCCACCCGAACAGGGUAUUUGCUUUUGAAUACAUAGAAAGCAAAGGCGAACCAAGCGAACUGAAACAUCUAAGUAGCUUGAGGAAAAGACAUCAACCGAGAUUCCGAAAGUAGUGGCGAGCGAAAUUGGAUCAGCCUUCCAGUGAUAGCGCAAACGUUAGCAAAACGAGGUGGAAAACUCGGCCGUAGCAGGUGAUAGCCCUGUAUGCGAAAGCGAAUGUGUGGUACUAGGCUGGUAACAAGUAGGGCGGGACACGUGUAAUCCUGUCUGAAUAUGGGGGGACCAUCCUCCAAGGCUAAAUACUCAUCAUCGACCGAUAGUGAACAAGUACCGUGAGGGAAAGGCGAAAAGAACCCCGGGAGGGGAGUGAAAUAGAUUCUGAAACCGCAUGCUUACAAAAAGUCGGAGCCCUUUUGGGUGACGGCGUACCUUUUGUAUAAUGGGUCAGCGACUUACAUUCAGUGGCGAGGUUAACCGAGUAGGGGAGCCGCAGAGAAAUCGAGUCCGAAUAGGGCGUUUGAGUCGCUGGGUGUAGACCCGAAACCAGGUGAUCUAUCCAUGACCAGGAUGAAGGUGCCGUAACAGGUACUGGAGGUCCGAACCGACUGGUGUUGCAAAACCAGCGGAUGAGUUGUGGAUAGGGGUGAAAGGCUAAACAAACCUGGAAAUAGCUGGUUCUCUCCGAAAACUAUUUAGGUAGUGCCUCACGUAUUGCCUUUGGGGGUAGAGCACUGUUUUGGCUAGGGGGUCAUGGCGACUUACCAAACCAAGGCAAACUCCGAAUACCAAAGAGCAGAGCGUGGGAGACAGUGCACCGGGUGCUAACGUCCGGACACGAGAGGGAAACAACCCAGACCGCCAGCUAAGGUCCCUAAAAUUGGCUAAGUGGGAAACGAAGUGAGAAGGCUAAAACAGUCAGGAUGUUGGCUUAGAAGCAGCCACCAUUUAAAGAAAGCGUAAUAGCUCACUGAUCGAGUCGUCUUGCGCGGAAGAUGUAACGGGGCUCAAGCCAGUUACCGAAGCUGCGGAUGCACAGCAAUGUGUGUGGUAGGAGAGCGUUCUGUAAGUCUGUGAAGGCGGCCUGAGAAGGCUGCUGGAGAUAUCAGAAGUGCGAAUGCUGACAUGAGUAGCGUUAAAGCGGGUGAAAAGCCUGCUCGCCGUAAGCGCAAGGUUUUCUAUGCAACGUUCAUCGGCGUAGAGUAAGUCGGCCCCUAAGGUAAGGCAGAGAUGCGUAGCUGAUGGGAAACAGGUUAAUAUUCCUGUACCGAUGUGCAGUGCGAUGUGGGGACGGAUCUUAAUAGGUUGUCCGGGUUUUGGAUAUCCCGGUUUAGAUGGAAGUAGGUGUGCAUCAGGCAAAUCCGGUGCAUAUGUGCCCAGGCCAUCGAUCGAGCAAGCUUGCUUGCGAAGCAACUGAACGAGGUCCCAGGAAAAGCCACUAAGCUUCAGCUGCACACGACCGUACCGCAAACCGACACUGGUGCGCGAGAUGAGUAUUCUAAGGCGCUUGAGAGAACUCAGGAGAAGGAACUCGGCAAAUUGACACCGUAACUUCGGGAGAAGGUGUGCCCUAGUAGUGUGAUGAGAGCAUCUGAGCAUGAAUGGGUUGCAAAAAAUAGGUGGCUGCGACUGUUUAUUAAAAACACAGCACUCUGCAAACACGAAAGUGGACGUAUAGGGUGUGACGCCUGCCCGGUGCUGGAAGGUUAAUUGAAGAUGUGAGAGCAUCGGAUCGAAGCCCCAGUAAACGGCGGCCGUAACUAUAACGGUCCUAAGGUAGCGAAAUUCCUUGUCGGGU
rnacentral:rRNA from 1 species